rnacentral:lncRNA from 12 species
CCCUGCUCCCUUUAGCCAGUUUAGAGGACAUUUGUUACAUAGAUGACCAUGGGUUGACCUCUAUUUCUCUAUGUGCUAUGGGAUCUUUUUUUUUUUUUGAAGAUUUUAUUUAUUUAUUCAUGAGACACACACACACACACACACACACACAGAGGCAGAGGGAGAAGCAGGCUUCACACAGGGAGCCUGAUGUGGGAUUCCAUCUGGGGAUUCCAGGGUCAUGCCCUGAGCCAAAGGCAGCUGAGCCAAAGGCAUGCCCUGAGCCAAAGGCAGUUCAACCAUUGAGCCACCCAGGUGUCCCUGCUGUGGGAUUGAACAAGAAAAUCAUCAUCUCCAAGCCUCAGGAUAAUAAUGCUUCUCUUGCCAGGAUCUUGAUGGUGUGUUUUGGUCCUGGGCUGCCUUGGAAAAUGUGUAGAAGACGGGAAACACUAGGAGCAGCCUUCCAUCAGACACCACGGCAAGUGUUUGCUGGAACAGGGAGGGUACUCUGUGUGGCAGCCACCAUUCGAGUGCCCCAGGAAUGAAUGAAGUCAACAUGUCUACAAAGACACAUGAUAUAGAUAAUUGUAAACAAUGAGAAGCGGAACAUUAUUCAUCCAGUGCCCUGUCACCCUAUAGACAUAAACACACAACCAUCAAAUUAAAUACUAUUUAUUAUGUAAAACCCUUUGGUUUCAACCUGUCUGUGAGUUGUAAGAGCAGGCCCAGAGCAUCCCUUUGUUUCCAAUCCUUCUAGUUAGGAGUACUUGUUGAACCCUGAUGAGAAGUGCAUCCAAGUGGCAAACAAUUAUGAAAUCCACCAAAUGACUUUUGAGAAGAAUCUUAGCAUGCAAAUAUUGUUCAUGCAUGACACCAGCACCCACACAGAUUCAGGGCUGCUGCUCACCUCCCACAGUUGCAGAGCAGUCCCUGCCAGACAGAACCAAGUCACCAUCCAGUCCUAAUGAAAGAAAAGAGUACAUACAAGGAUUUAGUGCUGCAGAUCUAUUGCCUCUAAGGAUUCCUCUCUGUCAACAAAGGGAUAAUCCUGAAGGUCUCACGGAAGCACAAAUUCAAGGACUUCAUGGAAAUCAUAGGUACGCAAGAGCUGUGAGACAAAAUGCACCGGUCUCAUUUAAGAAGUCUAUAGUUAGGGGGCACCUGGGUGUCUCAGUUGGUUAAGCAACCAACUUCUGAUAUCAACUCAGGUCUUGAUUUCAGGGUCCUGAGUUCAAGCCCCAUAUUUGGGCUGCAUGCCCAGCAUGGAACCUACCUAAAAAGGAAGUGGAGGAAGAGGAGGAAGAGGACAACGACGACGACGAUGACGACGAUGACGCCGACGACGAUGACGACGAUGAAGAAGGAGGAGUCGUCUCUAGCUGGAGUCAUUUAAAUGCCCUGUUAUUCUAUUUCUGGCUGUUAAAUUUAGCUUUCACAGAGCUUGUGUAUUUUAGAAACCCACAUAGUAGAUGUUGACUUACAUGAUAUGAAAUAAAAUGAGGAAAUCCAUGUUUUCA